GGCACAGAAACUGUUUGUUUGCUUUUGAGAAGCUGAGUUCAACUGCAAGGCAUCAAAAACACAGAUGAACUCUGAAGCAUCAGCUCCCAGAUUGUCAAACCCAUUGUGCAUUUUCCAGAGCCAAAACACUCUUGUCCUCUACGAUCCUCUCUGCAAUUUACAGGGGAGAGGGAACCAUCUGUAAUCUGUGCUUUCUUUGGAUGAGGAGCCGUGGUGAUACUCAGUCACGUCACAAAGUCAACACCAGGAUGGUUUCAUUCAGGGGAAAAGCACACAAAGGCUUCGGCCGUUGACUGAGUGCGAUGAGCAAAGACUGCGAGCCGAGCCGAGCCAGCGGACAUUCCAGGCGAGCCGGGCAUACUUGGAAUCCUGUGGCACAAAGGGACACAUUUCUCUUCCUCUUUGUCACUAAAAACCCCCAUAAACUCCUUUGUUCUUUGGUGAA